rnacentral:tRNA from 17 species
GAUCCCGUAGCUCAGCAGGGAGAGCGCCACCUUGACAGGAUGGGUCGUGAGCUUAAGCCUCCCCGUGGUCA